UCAAAAUAUUACAUACAAGUGUAUGUUAUAAAUAAUCCUCAAGUAAACAUACAUGUAACUACCACCAUCUGGACAUUUCACAUCAAGUUAUAAAACGCUUUCAUCAUCUGGACGACUUCUUGCUUCCCCUCCCGCCCCCCUCUCUCGGCUGUUUCCCCUCCUCCAGCCCCUAAGGACUGGUGUCUUUUAUUUCCCCAGACUUACUCAAAGCCUUGACUUGGUUUUAUGCUUUGCUCUUUAUUGCACAGAUCUGAACAAGGACGGCAGCUGGGGUGACAUUUCAUUUAUCCAGAGAUGCAAGGGUGCUGAAGCUUGACAUCCUUAUUUGCCAUCAUGAAAAGCAUUUGAAAGGGGGAAAGAAGAAAAUUGAUUGCAGAAAACCUUAGAUUGAUGAGCAUGAGUAAGGGCUGCAGGGGGCACUGGAAAAUUCAGGUGCUGUCUCUUUUCUAUGAAUUCUGUCUUUCCUCCCUGAUCUCGAAGACUCUUCAGUAAAUAGAACACAUCCACUUUACAUACUAAGUGACAGAAAAACAAUUUUCCAUGACAUGAGGACCUCCAGUCUAUAUUUUAUUUCUUGUGGUAAAAUAUACAUAACAUUUACCAUUUUAAACACUUUUAAGUGUACAAUUCAAUGACAUUGAGUACAUUUACAUUUUUGUGCAAACGUCAUAGUCAUCUAUCUCCAGAACUUUUAAUCAUCCCAAACAGAAACUCUGCACCUAUUGAACAUUAACCCCCAUUCCUUCCUCCCUCCAGCCCCUGGUAAUCUCUAUUCGACCCUCUGUCUAUAUGGAUUCGCCCGUUCUAGGUACCUCAUGUAAGUAGAUUCAUAUAAUAUUUGUCCUUUUAUAUCUGGCUUAUUUCACUUAGCAUAAUGUUUGUGGUUCAUUCAUGUAGUAGCAUGUGUCAGAACUUUAUUCCUUUUUAGGCUUGAAUAAUAUUCCAUUCUAUGUAUAUACCAUAUUCUGUUUAUUCAGUCAUCUGUUGGUGGACAUCUGAGUUGUUUCCACAUUUUGGCUAUGGUGAAUAAUACUGCUGUGAAUAUUGGCGUCUGUUUGAUUCUCUCUCUUCAUUUCUUUUGGAUAUAUACCUACGAGUGAAACUGCUGGAUCAUAUAGUAAUUCUGUUUAAUUUUUUGGGGAACUACCAAAGUGUUUUCACAGUGACUGCACCAUUUUACCUUCCCAUCAGAAAUGUACAAAGCUUCCAAUGUCUUUACAUCCUUACCAAUAUGUUUUUUUUUUAAAUUUUUUGUUUUUUGGUAAUGGCAAUCCUAUAAGUGUGAAAUCGUAUCUUGUUGUGGUUUUGAUUUGCAUGUCCCUAGUGGCUAGUGACAUUGCACAUCUUUUGGUACUUAUUAGCCAUUUGUAUAUCUUCUUUGGAGGAAUAUCUAUUCAGAGCCUUUGACCAGGUUUGAACUGGGCUGCUCAUUUGUUUUAAUUAUAGGACCUCUUUAUAUAUUCUAGAUAUUAAUUCCUUACCAGAUAAAGUUAUUUGCAAAUACUUUCUCCCAUUCUUUGGGUUGCCUUUUCACUCUCUUGCAAGGGUCCUUUAGGGCACAAAGUCUUCAAUUUCAGUGAAGUUCAGUUUAUCUAUUUUUUCUUUUGUUGCUUGUGCUUUUGGUGUCAUAUCCAAGAAAUCAUUGACAAAUGCAAUGUUAUAAAGCUCUUGCCCUAUGUUUUCUUCUAGGAGCUUUAUAGUUUUAUGUCUUUAUUCCAUUUGAAUUGAUUUGUACAUAUAGUAUAAGGUAAGGUAAGAUAAGGUAAGGACCCAGUUGGUUCUUUAGCAGGUAGAUAUCCAGUUUUCUCAGCACCAUUCAUUGAAGAUGCUGUCCAUUCCCCAUUGAUGGUCUUGGCACCAUUACUGAAAAUCAAUCAACAUUAUACGUAAGGAUUUUCAUUCUACUGACCACAAGCUGGUUCAGAGAAAUUGGUCUCAGAUAGUGCUAAAAAAAAGUUAUUACUGAACCACAGCAACAAGUACAUUUUCUUGGGUAAAUACUAUUGUUUUUCAGUCUACAUAAUACUUUGAAUUAGAAUAUCUUGAACAUGCUUUUAUCCAUUUGUUAUUGAUGUCUACUUGUUUAUGAUGCUAUCAUUUUUCUAAAUAUGACAGUCUCAAUCGUUUCUCGUCCUGCAAGGUGAACAGUGAUUUCUUCACUAAAUAGUCCUGAAAUUCUCAGAGGAUCACUUAGAGGGGGAUACGGUUUUUGGAAUGCUGUGACCUUGGUCUGUGGAGAAGGAGGCGCCUAGGAGUUGGCACCAAAUGACUGCUGGAAGUGUAAUUUACAUGAUAUUGGCAUUAUUGUGACUCUAUAUGCCUUUUUUCCUUGAGACAUCUUUCGGGCAUUUGAAAGCCCAUGUUUACUGCAUCCUAAUGUUUUCAGAUUGUUUUCUUAAAUGCUGUCCUAUAUGGUUCUCAUGACCUCUCUGUGAAGUAACCCAGUUAGAUAUAUAUUUUAUUAGUUAAAGACCUGAGACUCACAGAAGUUGAGUGGCCAUGUCCAAAGCUCAUAGCCAGGAAGUGGAGGACCUGGGACACGCGUCCUGGCUCCUGACCCUGAGGCUCUCCUUUUACAGUGCACACCAGAAUACAGCACCUGCUAUUCUGACUUACAUCAUUUCUAGAAAUGGGUUAUUGGCAGAUGAGACACCGUCUUCUCCCUCCUCAUCAUGGAAGGCUGAGUAUUAGGCAGAAUGAUAAAGGUGAACUCUACAGAGACUAAGUGCAAUUUUUCUUGGUACAUUCCCAUUGUAAGUAGCAGAUUAAGAACUACCAGAAAAAAAUAUAGCCAUGGAGAAGGAAAAGCUUUGCUCUGAAAGACCUUCUCCCCACAGUGAGAAUUCUGGUUUCACAUGGAAAUGGCAGGCAGUAGGAUGGCCAUUCUCAUAAAUCAUGUCAUGUGGUGAAGGCAGAGGCCUCCUUAUUUAGAACAAUGUUUUAAUUUCCCAGAUGAACACACCAAGGACCAGGGAAGGAAGUGAUUUCCUCAUGGUCAAGCUGCUGAAUAAAGACAGAUCAGGCUCUGGCACCCUACCCUCCUACUUUCAGCUAACAAACCUUGCUAGGGAGCAUUCCUAUUUCACAGCUACCUUCUCUAGCAUCCUCAUUUUUGCACAUGUGCUGUCAUUUUUUUAGAUAUCAGGAUGAAUCCUCAAUCAUCUUGAAUAAAAAAUACGAACAUAGACUUGUUCACCAAAUUGUCCUGAAAUUCUUUUCAUAAAAGGAAACAAUUUGAAUCUUGGAUGGAGUAAACUGAGUGCAAAAAGAAGGAAAAACUGCUUCAGACAACAGGUCACUGUAUUAGGCCAUUCCUGCAUCGCUGUAAAGAAACACCUGAGACUGGGUCAUUUAUUAAAAAAGAAGAGGUUUAAUUGGCUCACGGUUCUGCAGGCUUUAUUGGAAGUAUGAUGCCAGCAUCUGUUCAGCUUCUAGUGAAGCCUCAGGGAGUUUUUAAUCAUGGUGGAAGGCAAAACAGGAAUAGGCACAUCACAUAACAAAAGCAAGAACCAGCGAGAGAGAGUUGGGAGGGAGGUAUCCCACAUCUUUAAACAACCAGUUCUCGCAAUAACCCACUAACAGAAAGACAGCACCAAGCCAUGAGGGAUCUGUGCCUAUGAUCCGAACACCUCCCACCAAGCCCCACCUCCAGCACUGGGGAUUAUGAUUCAACAUGAGAUUUGGCAGGGACAAAUAUCUAAACUAUAUCAGUCAUUUAAUAUGCUAUAUAUAUAUAUGAAUAUUAAAACAGGAAGAAAUCUAAGAAAACAUAAUUUAUUGAUUGCCUAAUUGAUACAAUUACAAUGAAUGAUAAUUCAUUGGACACAUUUUUAUUGCAUAUUAGUAUGUGCUAGGCACAGUGAUUAGUACUAUGAAUAUAAUGGUGAGCAAAAAUGAGCAUGGUCCCAUCUUCAUGAAGCAUAUAGUCUGGUGGCAAAGAUAGGCAUCAAACAGAUAAACAUAUAAAUACAUGUAACAUUAAUGCUUUAAUAUGUUUUAUGAUGAAGAAGUAUGUGGUGCUGUGAGGGAAUUUAACAGAAGAGAGAUCCCUGGAUUUGUAAUUCAGUCUUUCCUGUAGUUGGAUGGAACUUGGAAUAGCCAAGGAGUUGAAAGAAGACCAGUGCAGUUGGAAUUCAGAGAACAGUAGGAGCAUGACGUGAAUAGAGGAUGUAGGAUGGGUAGGAGCUGCAGGGCGCAGGAUAUCUUAUGGAGGAUAAGGAUUUGAUCUUUCUCCAAAGAGCACUGAGAAACCAUUAAAUGACUUGGAUGGGGCACAGAGAAGAUGUGGUGGGAGCAGUUAUCAUAUUAAUCCUUUGAAAAUAUAUAUAUUUUUUGACUGCAGGAUAAUAGGCUGGAAGAUGGCAAGAACAGGUGCAGGGAGAUCUGUUAAGUGCUUGUUGAAGUAGCCUACGCAGGACACAAUGGUGGUUUGACUUUGUGAUAUGGGAAUAGGGAAGAAGAGAAAUGGAUAUAUUUGAGAGGUAUUUAGAGGUUAAGUGGACUGGAUUCGGUAAUGCAUAAAAUCUGGAGAGGGAGGGAGAGGAAAGCACCAAGAAUGACUCCAGGUCUCUUAAAUUGCACUACUGAAUUGACGGCAGUGCCAUUCAUUGGGAUAGACAUUGGAAGGGGAGUGGCUCUAAUGCAGGGAGAGAAUGCUUGGGCUUAGACUGCAAGGUAAAUUUGAGGCAUCUGUAAGUAGAAAUGGAGAUACAGUACAGGACCGGAACUCAGAAGAUGGUGUUAGCUGGAGAUAUAAAUUUGGGAUUUAUGAAUGACUGGCUAUUGAAGCCAUAAACAUGGACAAGAUGGACAGAAAGUACAGAGAGAGAAGAUAAGAGGGCCCAGUGUGGAGUCUUUGGUAUUAUAAGUCUUGAUGGCCUAAACUGAGAGGAUGAGUAGGUGAAGGACACAGAGAAGGCGCAGCCAGAGAGUAGAAACCAUGAGGUGUGAUGUGAUGGUGACCAAGGGAAAAAGAUUGUGUUGAAGAAGAAAGCAGUGGUCUUCUAAGUCAAAUCCUGCUUAGAGAUUCUGUAAGGUGAGGACUAGAAAAGAUACAUUGGACUUAAUGGUGUGAAGAUCAUUGAAGAGGCUUAGCUACAUCAGUGGAUAGCUGUGAGGGGAAGUCUAUUGGGAGUGAGAUGAAGAAUGAACAGGAGGAAAGCAAAUGGAACUAAAGUGGUACUUAUGGUCUUCCUUUGUGCAUCUGCUCAUGAAAUGUGCCCCAGGCUGGGUGCAAGAACAGGUCCCAGAAAAACCUGUGAUUUGCAGUAUGACCACUGCUAAAUCACCUAACCCUUCCCUGCCUCAGUUUCCUUAAUCAAUUCUAUGGACUAUAACCCGGGCUCAUGAGGGAUAGAAGAGCUUUGGAAAUCCAAGCUUAAAUUAUUCCUUAAAUUCACUAAGCGCCAAAUGGCAAUUAUUUUAAAAACUAUUUUCCUGUUAAAGAUGUGUCCUCCCUCACACCUCAAGAAGAUUUUUGGUUUAUUUUUGUUUGUAUUAGAAGGGAUAUUCCCCUUUUCCAAAUCUGGUCAACAAUAGAAAGUCCUUAUCUAUGUUCUCUUGUGAUCUUGGUUUAGGAGAUAAUAUCAAAUCUCCCAUGUAUGUAUUGGCUAGUAACGUAUUUAUUUACCCUUAAGACCUAUAUUGUUUUUAUAAUCCUAAGGCUGAUGUGAAAGAGGAGAAAAACCUGUUUUUUGUUUGUUUUCUAAAUGAUCACUAGGUACACUAGAGAGGAUUAUCCUUCAACAAAUAUGCCACAGAGUUGAAGGAGGUGAUCAGGAAUCCCUUAGAGUCUUAGAAGCUCUCACAAUGUGACUGAUUCCAUAUGUUUAAUGGUAAAUAUGAUAAGCCCUUUAGAUUUCUCUGUUAACUUAAUUUCCCAGACUGCCACAAUGGUGAGUAAUUGAAUAUUAACAGAUGAAAAUGGAAGCUGUGGACACAUGUCAGUUGUCUCAUACCAAUGGCUCCCUAACGUGAAAAGCCCUGCUGAUACCCAAAACCUUACUAUGGCCUUUCUUGAAGGAGCAGGUCUGUUGGAAAAUAAAGUUAUCGUUGGCUAGAUAAUUGCUAUUUGUUUUUUGUUCUCUUGAAGAUAUUUAUAGGGCCCAAAUCAGUGGUAUGGUAGACUGAGAGUCCUGUGAGAAGUACAGUCAGGGGAUAUGAGUGAAGAUUUGUUGUCUUAGAGCAAUGGCUGGAGAUUGGGCCAGGCCUGGACCCUUAAAAUCUGCUCUAUCCUCCGUAUUCUUUUUUUGCUGUUUAUGUGUUUGGGAGUAAAGGACUCCAGGGUCUUAAGAUAUAACAGAGUGAUAAGAUGGAAUCAGCCUGGAUCCCUGAGUCAACACUUGGUGGUGAGCCUCCAGGAGGAACUUUCCCAUUAGACUGCUGCCUGAGCAAGAAAUAGACCUUUGUGGUGUCAAGCCAUGAAAAUUUUUGAGUUGUUUGACAUAGCAGUUGGUUUACCCUGAGUAACACAUCACAGAUCUAUAAUGCAAUGUGAGCUGUGCUAUAAGCGAAGCUUAUAUAAAGUGUUAUAAGAAGAGACAAAGGCCUGAGAAGGAUAGAAAGAUGAGAUGAUAUUUAAGCUUGAUAAACAGAGAAGAGUUUGCCAAAUGAGACAGGUGUGGAGACAAUUUAAACAAGUGGUCUAGUGUGGGCAAAGCCCAUGGUGCAUGGAAAUAUAUUCUGAGUAAGAGUGAGUGACAAAGUUCCUUUAUGGGACCUUUGUAGGGGGCAAUUGGAGAAGAUGCUGAGGCCAGAGCAAGCACUGAGGGCUAUAUCUCUUCAGUUUUAUCCAGAAGACAGUAAGGAACUGUCAGUAUUUCCAAGAGAAAAGCAUAUGUUAGAAGGAUCCUCUGGCAUCUGUGUGGGGUAUGGAUGAAGAAGGUUGCACGUGGAGGCUGGAAGUACAUUUAGAAAGUUGUUUCAGACCUGUGAUCCCAGCACUUUGGGAGGCCGAGGUGGGCAGAUCACUUGAGGUGAGGAGUUUGAGGCCAGCCUGGCCAAUAUGGUGAAACCCUGCCUCUACUAAAAAUACAACAGUUAAUUGGCUGUGGUGGCAGGUGCCUGUAAUCCCAGCUACUUGGGAGGCUGAGGCAGGAGAGUCGCUUGAAUCCAGGGGGUGGAGGUUGCAGUGAGCUGAGAUCACACCACUGCACUCUAGCCUGGGCGACAGAGUGAGAGAGAAAAACAAAAGAAAGUUGCUUCAGAAAUCUAGCAGGAACUUACAAGAAAAUAUACAUGCAGCACACAAAACACAGGGCCGAACACUAAGAAAUAUUAGGGCCAUUUUGUUUCUUUUCCCUGAAUGAGGGAAAUGACUGUGGGAAUAAAGAGAAAGUGAGUGGAUAAAAGAGGCUUUUGGAAGCUAUAAAUCCUUGAUGAACAAGUAUUGAAUAAAUGAUGCAGUAUCUUUUGGGGAUGCUGAGUGGUCUGACUGUUAAGCACCCCAUGGUGGGGAUGAGGGUUACUAAAUAACUGUGUCCCAUGUCCUCUCCUCUCACUAGAAGCUCUUAAAAAUCCAGACAUCCAACAAGAGACCAAUAGGAUACACUGAUGUUUUAUGAAUGGGGCCAGGACCAGCCUGAGUGUGGAGCCUCGUGGGCUGAGUUUCCCCGGGAUUCAGAGCCCUGAGGUUGAGUUUUCUACUGGUCAGCUGGAUCAGUUCAGCUGCUAUAAAGAGACAGUGCCCGGCCACCCAUACAGCAUUCCAUUGUGGCAGACAAUGGACUGGUGAAAUGCAACGUAGACAGUCUGAGGACCCUGUGCAAUGGAAACUCCAAUUGAAAUUGUACAUAGUCACUAACAUUCUACCUAUUCAAGGGGGCUGAAGACAGAGUCUAAGAAAAAGCUCUGAAGCCAGAGCACUGUUGCAGCCUCGGCCUCAUUUUCCAACAGAAGUCUUUCAUAUAAUCAGAGGGCUAGAAAAGAAACAGAAAUACAUAUGCCGGCUGCUACAUUUUACAGAAGAGGAAAUGGAGGCACCCAGAGAUAAAGCCACUUAUACAAAAUCAUGGUGAGAUAAGGGUUCUCAGAGAUUGGUUGUGUGUAAGAGAAACCCAGUUGAACAAGGUGAGGGUCAAGGUAAGCCCAAGACCUCGGGGCAAGAAGUGCCAAAAGGAAUGGAACCAGGAGCUUAAAACCUUUGGAAACUAAGGUUUCUUAUUCUCCUUCUCUCUCUUUUCCAUAUGGUCUCUCGUAUUUGUUUCUCUGCUCAUCUCUUUACAUCUCGUUUUUCUCAAUAGCCCAACCUCUUCAUGAGCCAAAUCUGUUCCCCGUGUUCUCUCCCAGAUGAUGCCCCAGCAGAGAUGAAUGGUGGCCCUAGGCUGGAGCACCCCUG
rnacentral:lncRNA from 1 species